AGCUGUGGCUUGCCACUGUGAGAGGUCAGGAGAGACCAUUGGUGAAGGUGCAGCCUCAGUAGCUGUUGAAGGCCAGAUAGACUGAAGGAGUCAUGAAGAGAAACCGAGGCUCGGCAUCAUGAAUAAAUCCUAGGACAUUGGUAAAAGCACAGCCCAGUUGCAGUCAAAGAUCCCAGCAUUGUGGAGAUGCCAGUACCUUGGCAUGAUCACCAAGAGCAGCAGUGGCCAUAGAAUGGCGCCUACCCGAGCUUAGAGGACAAGCUGUGUGUGCUACAGAGGAGCUGGAGAAGUGGCCCAAGCCCCUUGUAGGAGGCCAGAAGAUGGUUAGUGAAUCCCAGGUGGCGCCACCUCUGUUUGUAAACUCCAAUCCAGAGCUGUAGUUGUUUCUCCUUUUGGCCCUACACUGUAGAACCAAAGCCGUGCCCAACAGAAGUAGCCUCACCCUGAGUGUCUGAAGCCAGUAUACACGUGAUAGAAAGUGUAUCUCUCACCCUUUAUCAUGCUUUGCAACAGAUGGAGAAUAUCACAGAAAACCAAAGCCACAACCAGUCAAAACACAGAAUCAUGAAGCCCAGUCCCUGCCCUUACAUCAGGAGCCUGCACCAAAGGCUCAGAGCUCACUGCAGAAGAGGGGCUGAAGGACUGGAAGAGCCAGAGGAGCAGGGAGUUGGCUGUGAGAUUGUUUUCUAGAAAUGUGAGAAACUACACCCAUGAAGUCUCAUCAACAUGGAUACCUAAACAUGACAUGAGUAAGGAUGAAACCAAUAACCCUGCUAACAUUGAAGGAGAGUGCUCAAGAGGCCUCAGUCUAGACGAGGAACUACAUGCAACUAAAGGAAUGCUAAAUACGAGAGACACAGUCUUCCCCAAAGAAGCCCCAUGUUUUAUAUCUCCAGUGGAGCUCCACAGGAAGACAAACAGAGUCAACUAACCUGGACCCUUGGGGUUCCUAGAGACUGAACCACCAUACAAAGAACAUACACAGGCUGGAUCUAGGCCUCUCCACACAUAUGAGAAAUCAACAACGGAGAAGAUGUUUAUCAGUAAAACACGAUGAAGAAUGGCUCAGAUAGCAGCUGUUCCAAAUGUUUGUUAUGUUGAACAUGAUAUGCAAGUUACAGUAUAUGAAGCCCUUCAGGGAUAUACCCUGGACUAGCAGAGCUACAUCAUAUGAAUGUGAUGUUUGUACAGCUGUGUCUGAGAAAAUGCUACUUUAAUUUAUUGUUAGUUUUGACUUUCUGGAUUGUUGCAAACAAUGAAACUUGGAAAAGAUUGUUCUUGUGACACAUCUUCCCAAAACUUUUAAGUCAAAUUUCAUCAGCGUGAUCCUCUCUAAUAAUUAUUAUUUGUGAAAGAAAA
rnacentral:lncRNA from 1 species